CUCCCCACAACAGACACCUUGUGAGGUAGGAGGGCUGAGAGAGUUCUGAGAGAACUGUGACCAGCCCAAGGUCACCCAGCAGGCUUCAUGUACAGGAGCAGGAAAUUGAACCCAGCCCUCCAGAUAAGACUCCUCCACUGAUGUG